UCUCCGUUGGUGAACCAGCGGAGGGAUCAUUACCGAGUUAUCAACUCCCAAACCCCUGUGAACAUACCCAACGUUGCUUCGGCGGGACCGCCCCGGCGCCCUCGGCGUCCCGGAACCAGGCGCCCGCCGGAGGACCCAAACUCUUGUUUAAACCAUAGAGGCAUAUUCUGAUUCUCACAAGAAAAAUGAAUCAAAACUUUCAACAACGGAUCUCUUGGCUCUG
rnacentral:misc_RNA from 1 species